UACGGAGGAUGCGAGCGUUAUCCGGAUUUAUUGGGUUUAAAGGGUGCGUAGGCGGAUUUUUAAGUCAGCGGUAAAAUGUCCGGGCUCAACCCGGGCCGGCCGUUGAAACUGGGGAUCUUGAGUGGGCGAGAAGUAUACGGAAUGCGUGGUGUAGCGGUGAAAUGCAUAGAUAUCAUGCAGAACUCCGAUUGCGAAGGCAGCAUACCGGCGCCCGACUGACGCUGAGGCACGAAAGCGUGGGGAUCGAACAGG
rnacentral:rRNA from 1 species